AUACGAAGGGUGCAAGCGUUACUCGGAAUUACUGGGCGUAAAGCGUGCGCAGGCGGUUUUGUAAGACAGUUGUGAAAUCCCCGGGCUCAACCUGGGAACUGCCAUUGUGACUGCAAGGCUGGAGGGCCGCAGAGGGGGAUGGAAUUCCGCGUGUAGCAGUGGAAUGCGUAGAUAUGCGGAGGAACACCGAUGGCGAAGGCAAUCCCCUGGGCCUGCACUGACGCUCAUGCACGAAAGCGUGGGGAGCAAACAGGAUUAGAUACCCUGGUAGUCCACGCCCUAAACGAUGUCAACUGGUUGUUGGAAAUUUAUUUUCUCAGUAACGAAGCUAACGCGUGAAGUUGACCGCCUGGGGAGUACGGCCGCAAGGUUAAAACUCAAAUGAAUUGACGGGG
rnacentral:rRNA from 1 species